ACAAAGAAAUAUAAUAAUGUUAGCUUCUGUGAUUAUGCUGAGUAUAAUUGGGGUGAUAAACAAAGAUGUAGUGGCUCUACCAUGCCUCACAGAUGAAUCCAAAACUAAAUUUGAAGCUAUUAGAAAGGCUCUGGGUAUUCUACAGACUUCCAUAGACGACACAAUAGAAAACUUACAGAAUGAUGUUAAAAAAAAAGUUAAAAAAAAUAGACGACAACAUGGGCGCUUUGAUUUCAGAUUUUCAAAAAAGACAAUGGAAUAAAUACAAUGGUCACUGCUACUACUAUGGAUACGAUCAACGUUCUUGGUUUUUAGCUGAGCAAAGUUGCAAACAGAUUGGAGGAUAUUUAGCAAAAGUUGGUGAUGAAGCAGAAAGCAAAUGAAUCAGCGAUAAUAGAA